UACGUAGGGUGCAAGCGUUGUCCGGAAUUAUUGGGCGUAAAGAGCUCGUAGGCGGUUUGUCGCGUCUGCUGUGAAAACCCGAGGCUCAACCUCGGGCCUGCAGUGGGUACGGGCAGACUAGAGUGCGGUAGGGGAGAUUGGAAUUCCUGGUGUAGCGGUGGAAUGCGCAGAUAUCAGGAGGAACACCAAUGGCGAAGGCAGAUCUUUGGGCCGUAACUGACGCUGAGGAGCGAAAGCAUGGGGAGCGAACAGG
rnacentral:rRNA from 1 species